rnacentral:rRNA from 1 species
AUUGAACGCUGGCGGCAUGCCUUACACAUGCAAGUCGAACGGUAACGCGGGGCAACCUGGCGACGAGUGGCGAACGGGUGAGUAAUGCAUCGGAACGUGCCCAGUAGUGGGGGAUAGACCGGCGAAAGCCGGAUUAAUACCGCAUACGACCUAUGGGUGAAAGCGGGGGAUCGUAAGACCUCGCGCUAUUGGAGCGGCCGAUGUCAGAUUAGGUUGUUGGUGGGGUAAAAGCCUACCAAGCCUGCGAUCUGUAGCUGGUCUGAGAGGACGACCAGCCACACUGGGACUGAGACACGGCCCAGACUCCUACGGGAGGCAGCAGUGGGGAAUUUUGGACAAUGGGCGCAAGCCUGAUCCAGCCAUGCCGCGUGCGGGAAGAAGGCCUUCGGGUUGUAAACCGCUUUUGUCAGGGAAGAAAUCCUCUGGGUUAAUACCUCGGGGGGGUGACGGUACCAGAAGAAUAAGCACCGGCUAACUACGUGCCAGCCGCCGCAGUAACAC